AAUAACUAAAUUAAAGUGUAUUCUGAGUUCAAUUGAUUUUUUGUGAACGAAUUACGACGAUUCGUCUUUUCGGCCUGAUUUUAAGCUGCACAAAAAACUGUUUCCGAUCAGAUUUUUUUCGAUGUCAUAAUAAUCGUAUCGAAAUUCUGGUUCGCUUCAUAUAAUUGUUUUUAGAUAUCUUGAUUUCAGAGCACUCUCUCCAAUCCAUUCGGUUACUCAUAAUUGUACCGAAAAUCAAGUUAAAUCCCUAAUCUUUUGAAUAUUUCAAUUACACUUCCAAAUAAAACUACACUUAAAACCAUAUGAAAUUAUCUUCAUUCCACCAUUGAAUAUUGAAAAAAAAAAAAGAAAUUUCUUUUUUCGACCAAAGUCGCGAAAAAUGAAGAAAUUACGCUUACGUCCUAUUGUUCGAUUUGAUCGCUAGUACUUUUGUUUCAACAUUAAACAAUCAAAAGGUUGUUCUAAUAACUAAAUUAAAGUGUAUUUUGAGUUCAAUUGAUUUUUUGUGAACGAAUUACGACGAUUCGUCUUUUCGGCCUGAUUUUUUGCUGCACAAAAAACUGUUUCCGAUCAGAUUUUUUUCGAUGUCAUAAUAAUCGUAUCGAAAUUCUGGUUCGUUUCAUAUAAUUGUUUUUAGAUAUCUUGAUUUCGGAGCACUCCCUCCAAUCCAUUCGGUUACUCAUAUUUGUACCGAAAAUCAAGUUAAACCCCUAAUCUUUUGAAUAUUUCAAUUACACUUCCAAAUAAAACUACACUUAAAACCAUAUGAAAUUAUCUUUAUUCCACCAUUACAAAUUGAAAAAAAAAAAAGAAAUUUCUUUUUUCGACGAUUGUCGGGAAAAAUGAAGAAAUUACGCUUACGUCCUACUGUUCGAUUUGAUCGCGAGUACUUUUGUUGCAACAUUAAACAAUCAAAAGGUUGUUCUAAUAAGUAAAUUAAAGUGUAUUUUGAGUUCAAUUGACUUUUUGUGAACGAAUUACGACGAUUCGACUUUUCGGCCUGAUUUUUAGCUGCACAAAAAACUGUUUCCGAUCAGAUUUUUUUUCGAUGUCAUAAUAAUCGUAUCGAAAUUCUGGUUCGUUUCAUAUAAUUGUUUUUACAUAUCUUGAUUUCGGAGCACUCCCUCCAAUCCAUUCGGUUACCCAUAAUUGUACCGAAAAUCAAGUUAAACCCCUAAUCUUUUGAAUAUUUCAAUUACACUUCCAAAUAAAACUACACUUAAAACCAUAUGAAAUUAUCUUCAUUCCACCAUUGAAAAUUGACAAAAAAAAAAAGAAAUUUCUUUUUUCGACCAAAGUCGGGAAAAAUAAAGAAAUUACGCUUACGUCCUAUUGUUCGAUUUGAUCGCUAGUACUUUUGUUUCAACAUUAAACAAUCAAAAGGUUGUUCUAAUAACUAAAUUAAAGUGUAUUUUGAGUUCAAUUGACUUUUUGUGAACGAAUUACGACGAUUCGUCUUUUCGGCCUGAUUUUUAGCUGCACAAAAAACUGUUUCCGAUCAGAUUUUUUUCGAUGUCAUAAUAAUCGUAUCGAAAUUCUGGUUCGUUUCAUAUAAUUGUUUUUAGAUAUCUUGAUUUCGGAGCACUCCCUCCAAUCCAUUCGGUUACUCAUAAUUGUACCGAAAAUCAAGUUAAACCCCUAAUCUUUUGAAUAUUUCAAUUACACUUCCAAAUAAAACUACACUUAAAACCAUAUGAAAUUAUCUUCAUUCCACCAUUGAAAAUUGACAAAAAAAAAAAGAAAUUUCUUUUUUCGACCAAAGUCGGGAAAAAUGAAGAAAUUACGCUUACGUCCUAUUGUUCGAUUUGAUCGCUAGUACUUUUGUUUCAACAUUAAACAACCAAAAGGUUGUUCUAAUAACUAAAUUAAAGUGUAUUUUGAGUUCAAUUGACUUUUUGUGAACGAAUUACGACGAUUCGACUUUUCGGCCUGAUUUUUAGCUGCACAAAAAACUGUUUCCGAUCAGAUUUUUUUCGAUGUCAUAAUAAUCGUAUCGAAAUUCUGGUUCGUUUCAUAUAAUUGUUUUUAGAUAUCUUGAUUUCGGAGCACUCCCUCCAAUCCAUUCGGUUACUCAUAAUUGUACCGAAAAUCAAGUUAAACCCCUAAUCUUUUGAAUAUUUCAAUUACACUUCCAAAUAAAACUACACUUAAAACCAUAUGAAAUUAUCUUCAUUCCACCAUUGAAAAUUGACAAAAAAAAAAGAAAUUUUUUUUUUCGACCAAAGUCGGGAAAAAUGAAGAAAUUACGCUUACGUCCUAUUGUUCGAUUUGAUCGCUAGUACUUUUGUUUCAACAUUAAACAACCAAAAGGUUGUUCUAAUAACUAAAUUAAAGUGUAUUUUGAGUUCAAUUGACUUUUUGUGAACGAAUUACGACGAUUCGACUUUUCGGCCUGAUUUUUAGCUGCACAAAAAACUGUUUCCGAUCAGAUUUUUUUCGAUGUCAUAAUAAUCGUAUCGAAAUUCUGGUUCGUUUCAUAUAAUUGUUUUUAGAUAUCUUGAUUUCGGAGCACUCCCUCCAAUCCAUUCGGUUACUCAUAAUUGUACCGAAAAUCAAGUUAAACCCCUAAUCUUUUGAAUAUUUCAAUUACACUUCCAAAUAAAACUACACUUAAAACCAUAUGAAAUUAUCUUCAUUC